GUGGACGUGCCGGAGUGGUUAUCGGGAAUGACUAGAAAUCAUGGGGGCUUUGCCCGCGCAGGUUUGAAUCUUGCCGUUUACG
rfam:Arabidopsis thaliana chromosome 1, complete sequence.